rnacentral:lncRNA from 1 species
CUUUUUCUUUUUUUUUCUUUUUUUUUUUUUUUAAUGGCUGCAGAUGCAGCAUAUGGAAGUUCCCAGGCUAGGGGUCCAACUGGAGCCAUACCAGAUCCCAACUGCGUUGCCGGACUCUUUCACCCACUGAGCAAGGCCAGGGAUUGAACCCGAAUCCUCAUGGAUUCUUAACCUGCUGAGCCAUAACAGGAACUCCCAGCAUGCCACUCUGAUUCUCCACAGGAAAAGCAUUCAGACUGGAUGCUGUAAAUCUGAUGCUCAAUGGCAUAUUGGAAAGAGCUUGGGUUUGCAAGACAGUCUGCAAGACAGUCGUACAGGAGUUUGAACUUGCCACCUAUUGGUUAUGUACCUGAUGGAAGUUUUCCAAUCUGUAUUUAACACCAAUCCUCUCAUCUACAAACAACAACAAACAAAGAAGGAGAUGAGAUCAGGGGACUAACAUAACACCAACCAAGCAAGGUUGAAAACUGUUGGGUUAAACAGAUUAAAAUAAUUUUUUUUUAUUUGGUUUUGGUUUCUCCUGCAGGACUUACCAUAACCAGCCUUGUAUACACUCAUGGAUUUCCAGGAAGGGGACAGAACAUUUAGGGUUUUCCCAACUCUUUUAAGCACAGAAUUCCUUUUGAUGGCAUACCCAUUGAGAUUUGCUGAAAACUGACAUUCUCUAUAAAACUCUUUGGAAACAGUUCAAUUUAAAUUCUUCCUGUUUCACAGAUGAGGAAACUGUGGUUGGAGGAGGAGGGUAUUACCCUGCUGGGGCUACCAUAACAAAAUUCCACAGACUGGGUGGUUUAAAGAAUAGAAAUGUAAUUUCUCACAGUGCUGCAGGCUCGAGUCCCAGAUCAAGGCACUAGCGGAUUCCAUUUCUGGUGAGGGCCCCCUUUCUGGUUUGUCAAUGGCCACCUUCCUCGCCUGGCCUUCUUUCUAGGCAUGCGAGGAAAGGGACAUCUCUCCAUCUCUCUCCCGCUCCCUCUAUGGGUCUGUUUGUUCUCCUCCCUCUCUCUUCCUCAUUUUAUAAGGCCACCAGUACUGUCAGAUUAUGGUCCUUACCUUUAAGAUUAGGACCUCAUUUAACCCCAAGUUGUAAGGACCCCAACUCCAAAUAUAGUCACACUUUGUGCUGGUCUUCAACAUGUACAUUUAGGGGUGGGACACAUUCAGGAAGGGAAAGUGACUUCUUCACCAAGGUUGCGCAAACUGAGACCAGAAUCCAGAACUGGUAUGCAACCUGAUGUUGCUUCAGUGACACUUCCUGACUGAUGAUUGACAGACUGACUGAUUGAGAUCUGUUCUCUGUUCAUUCAUUUACUCUUUCAGCACAGAGUGCUUAUCCUGUGCAUUUUAUUGUGCAAGGCUAGGCUCCAGGACUAUAGAGACAAAAACAGACCCACUGCUCUCAAAAAGGGACUUAAGAUUCUACCUAGAGAAACAAGCAUGAGAACAGAGUCUUGAGGCACUGGGCUCACAGCAUCUGGAACAGCAAGGUGCUUUUCUGCCUGCACUUGCCAGCCCUUGUGGCAGCGGGCUGAGAACAGGAGGCAGUCAUGUGGAACAGAAGUGCAAUCCUGAUACAGCAUUUGCUAGCUGGAUGGCACCAAGCAAAUUACUUGACCUCUCUGAGCUCCAGUUUCUGAAUGUGAUACAUAAAGAUAAAACUUUCUAGAGUAGUUUGAGGAAUAAAUGUAUACAUGUAUAUAAUGUGACACACUGCACAUAGUAGAAACAAGAAAUGUUGACUUUCUUUUGGCUAGAGAGAGGAAAUUCAAGGGAUUUUAGGCAGCAAUAUCCACAGAUACCUCUUGGACAUUAGUAACAGAGCUAAUGCUCAGACUUAAUAAGGAUGCGUGUGGGUACAUCAAUUUUAGAUUCCCAGGAUCUAAGGUGCAAUGCUGGCUUCUAUCAUUUAAUCUUCCGUCACUGCAGGGGAGUGAGCCCACUGAGAGAGAUUUAUUAAUAAGUACAUGUACUUUGUUGCUAAAAUGCCAUUUAACCUCUUUUUAAAAAAAAAUGGUUAAACAUUUGUGUGCUGCUAUGAAUGUAUCCAUAUACAGUUUUAAUCUUCACAGCUCCUAUUAAAGACCAACCCUCCUUUAAGAAGACUUUCUUUACGAGUUACCAUUUAUUUAUCACUUAGCAUGGACCAGGAUCUUGUGCUAGGUUAUUAUUUUUCUACAUUAUUUCUCUUAAUCCAUAGAACAAGCCAGAGAGGGAAGCCAUAUUAAGUCUAUAUUUUGGUGAAGAGACUGACGAUCAGCUAGGUGAGAGGCAGGACAGUGGUUCUCGGAGAUAAUCCUGGACCACCCUGGGCACAUGUUAGAAAUGCACAUUCUCAGGUCACAGUCCAGAUCUACUGCACCAAAGCUCCAGCCUUGGCUCCUAGCACCCUGUGUUUUAACAAGCCCUGCAAAUGAUUGUGUUGCCUUUGAAAGUCUGGUGGAUUUGCUUCUGAUCAAUCAGGGACUUGGGGGUGGGGUGUGGGAUUGGAGCUUGAAUAUACCUGACUACAGCAAGGUUCUUUCUCAACUAGGAAUGAUUUCGUGCCCCACUCUCAACCCAGGCAGACGCUUGGUGAUGCCUAGAGACGUUUUUGGUUGUCACAACUAGAGGACGGGGUGCUACUGGCAGCUAAGGACAGAGGCCAUGGAUGCUGCUAAAAUCCUUCAGUACACAGGACAGCCCUUACAACAAAGAGUUAACCAGCGCAAAACGUCAGCAGUGAUGAGGCUGAGAAAUGCUACUCUACAAUUUAAUGUUGCCUUAUGAAAAGAAACUUAAUAGGGGAAAAGUGAGGAAGAGAAGAGAGCGAGAAACAAGGAGAGACAAAGAAAGGAGAAAGGAAGGAAGAAAGAAAGAUCUUGAGAGGAAGGGAGGGAGGGAGAGGAAGGAAGAAGAGAGGGGGAAGGGAAGGAAAAAAGAAGGAAAGAAGAAGGAGAGAAGGAAGGAGGAGGGAGGGAGGAAGAAAGGAAGGAGUGUGGGGGAGAGAAGCAGUAAGAGAGGAAGGGAAGAAGGAAGGGGGCUAAAUGACAGAUUUGGAGAGGGCCUGUCCUGCCCUUGGAUAUCAGGGAGCUGAUGAUCAAAAUGGCCAUUGUGAUAUCACUGCGCUGGAGCCUGCGAGCUACGCAGAAUGGAAACUAAAUAAGUCUUCAGUAUAUCAUACUUAGUGGAACUUUUGGACGUGAAAUGUACUUACAAAAUAAUGUGACAUUUCAAAAGCAUGUUGUCCUCUGAUAAGCCAGGGUCUGGAACCAGAAAGAAAAUAUCUCUAUGGACAAUUACCGGACUGUAACAGCCGAUGAAUGUGAUUUGUGACUUGCAGCUGCUAUAUUUAUUUCAACAUAUUAGCAUCAAGACAUUUGUCACCUUACCAAACGCCUUUAAUAUUUUCUCUCGCAGCUCGGGCUGCCGUUGGCGGUCUUUCUCUCCCCUCUCGGCCUGCUCCAUCUCACACCCUCAGUCUCUCUCUCCCGGCUAGAUGUUUCUGGCUCUCCUAUUCACUGCCUUUCCGUCUUCCUUCUCCCUCUCUUCCCUUGCAGACGUUAGUCCUUUUUCUCCCCACUUCCUGUCUCUUUCUCUCCCAUCUUCCCUCUUUCUCAAUUUUUCCCAUCAGUGCCUCUGAACUCUCUCUCUUCUUCCCCCAUUUCUCAAUCUUUCUACUGUAUUUUUCUUCAGCUUUUUUAAAGCAUUCUUAUUUCUUACCUUCUCUUGAUCCCUCCUUCUCUUUACCUUUCCUCUUUGUUCCUUAAUUUCUCUCCC